AAGGAACGGUGACCACAAGGCUAGGUCCAGUGUGAGUUUGGGCUUGUCUACUGAGCGAUCCUAUGACAUCUCUGUUGAUAACAGUCAGACCUGCCAGGCUUACUGGGAACUCAAGUGCCCGGCGUGUGUGAUAUAUCUGCCAUGAUCCCUUUGUAAGAGUCACUUGCAUUUCAGACAGAGAAACACGCUCAGAGCUGGGUAUCAGUUGGUGAGGCACUGGCAUUCCACAGUCAGUUGAGUUAAUCCCUUGCAGAGGUCCCGGAGAUAUUUCCACUGCUGCUGUCUUCUCUUCUAAACUGGUCAUCCGAAUAUGAUAAAUUCGAGUUUUACUGCUAAGAUUAGCUAUUCCGUCAGCCCUCGCCCUGUGAAGCGAGGUGGUUUUGAACAUGCACAUUAAAGAAGUGAAAGGAAGGCAAGUCUGGCUGUAUCAUCUAAAAUGUGAUUGCCUCCGUGGGUAAGUCAAGAGGCUUCCUUUGAACAGGAAACGUGGAUGUCUUCACAAAGCCUACAUGAAGUGCAAAGACAGAGGAAGCCUCCAGACUGUGCAGAUUUCCCAGGCCUCGCCACUGAAGCUCAGCUGACCGAGGACUCAAGAUCACAGAAGACUUUUCCCAGAAUCAUUGGCUGUUCCUGUAUUCUUGGUUGGCUUGCUCCGGAGAAGCAAGCUCAGUCUCAGGUCCUCCUGGCCCAGGAGAGUGAAGUGAAGGGGGAUGCCCUGGAGGCAGAAAGGUCCUGGUAUGAGAUAACUGGGGCCAAAAGCAACAAAGGAAAUAAUUGAACAUCGACAAGGCUGUUUUCCUUAGAAGAUUCAGACUUUGGGGAGUCUAGUUCUAAGUUCCAGGACCAUGGACUGAACCCUCAUUACAGCAUUCAGAUCAAGUCUGUGGCCUGGAUCACCUGUAGGAAAGGUGCCCACAUGCCCACCUUAAACUUGUACAAACGUGAAGGCUUCACGGUGAAAGAUCCAAAAGGGCAAGCCUCUAACUUGGGAAGAGCUUUUAUUAUGUUUUCAGUGACACUCUAAAGUACAAAUUGUUUAAACCAAAUUUCUUUCAUCCGUUUUAUAG
rnacentral:lncRNA from 1 species